UUUUUCUUAAUAUUAUAAAUGAUUUUCUUAAAAAGAAAGGAAUAAGAUUUAAUAUUUUAUUCCAGUUUAAUGAGUUUUCAAAGGUUUAUAUUUAAACCCCGGGUUAUUGUGUUAUUGAUAGAUAACUGUAUUUUCAAAAUGGAUUUUUAUAUAUUAUUUUGAAAAUUCGGUAUGAAUAUUAUGUGAAUAUAUGUGUUAUGUGAUGAAGUGGUAGUGGUGAAUUUGUUUGUUAAUUAGUUAUGAUUAAUUAUUAAUAUUAUAUGAUUAAUAUAUGAAUUUUUGUGAAUUUUAUAUUAUCUAGUUUAUUGAGCUGAAUGCUCGUAUGUGUUCGUAAUUGAGAUAUUUCAAUUUCUAUAUGCUCAGGAGAAAAUAUAGUUUAUUUGGAUAUUUUUAUAUUGAUUUAUGGAAUGUUAGAUGAUUUUAUAAUCGAUUUACGGAUUUAAUUGCGUAUAUUUAUAUUUAUUUAUUAAUUAUGUGACUUCCGUAAAACCGUUCACUCGUAACGAGGUAGCAAAUUUUCUUCCCGGAAGUUUCGAGAAAACUCACCAUUAGCCUAAUAUCAAUAUUCCGGACAUUUUUCGUGUUUUGACUUUUUCGAUCCGGAGUACGGUUUUCCCUGGAGCCGGUCCGGCGGAGCUUUUCGGUAUUCGAUAAUUAUCCAUUUUGUCUCGAUAAACGUGAACCGAGAUAUUUUCUUCAUCCUUAUCAUGUAAUAAUUGCAAUGGGACCCGCAGACCAAUAAUUGAGUUAAAAAGCCCCGUUUUGAUGAUUAUCUUGAAAACUAGUACCGAUUGGACCCCACUUUCUUAAUAUAAAGUUAUUAAAUACGUAUUUUCAUGCCAUAUACGAUCCAAAGGGGUACCAAUUAUUUGUAAAUAUAAAUAUACCUUUCUAGAGCUGAUUUUCACCCGUAAAAUCAUUUCACCAGUUUCUCUGCACGAAUACCGAGAGAAACCGAGCGGUGUUCUUCGUGUUCUUCAUAUUCAAACGUGGAUUUGAAGGCGUUAUUGGAGUCGGAAUCAAGCGUGCGAGUAGUCAAAUCGAAGAUAUCGAAGAGUAGAAUCCAUAUCAAUGAUCAAAAACAACAUGAGAUUCACAGAAAGGCUUAAAGGUGAGAUGAUUGAUUGAGAUUGUGGAUAAGGCUAAUGCUAGGCGAGGAGACAGAGUUGAGGAUCCAGUGGUCAGGGAGUGGUGAGGAAAGUUGAUGAGGUUGGUGCAAGCUGGAAUAGUUGACAGUGAUUCUUCUUAUCGAAGAUGAUCUGACUUGGUAAGAAAUAUUGUAUAGUAUUAGUGGUGGAUUCUAAUUUCAAUACUGUAACCUGGAAGCGAUCCUGUUGUUUUUGGGGGUUAAAAUGUUCUCUUUCGAGUCACUUAUUGAAGUUUAAAUGUUCUCUGGAAAUUCUUUUAUGAUGAUUUUCAAAUUUAAAAGUCAGGUUUUGAAAUCAUUUGAUUUAUGUUCUCAUUCAAAUCCUUUAUUUAAUGUUUUCAAGUUUUAAAUUCUAUUGGAUCUUCAUUAAUAAAAAUAUUGCAGGUUUUUAAAGUGUUUUAAAAAUGGGUUUUAUGUGGUGACGUCAGAAUCCAGACCCCCGGAUUCCUGGACUGUCACAGUUGGUAUCAGAGCAACAGGUUAUAAGUAUUUGAAAUUAGAAUAUAGAUUUUAGUUUUAAGUUCUAUUGAUGAGGAAUGUUGUGUGACCUCAUGUAGAGGUAUUGUGAGACUAUUUAAAAAUAGUCUAGAGAUGCGAUAGAGGUAUAGAAUCUGGUUAGAUGAUCAAGUUGAGUGUAUAGGUUUAGAGAGAUUUUGAUUCUUAAGUUUAGACAUAGGAUUUCUAGUAUGUUGACUAAUUGAGAUGAUGAAUUGUGUGAAAGGUCAAGAUUAGACCUAGAUAGAAGAGCUUGAUAGUGAAUGAUUGUGUUGAGAAUGGUGAAAAUGCAGAGUUCAGAGUAUUCUGAUUAUACUGCAUAGUUGAAAAUUGGAUUAUUGUAUUGAUUAGAGGAUGAUAUAAAUGCAUGGUUCAUAGUAUGUUGACCAUGUCAGAUAUUUGGAAGAUGUAUAUUAUUUUGAGUGAAGAUAUGAAGAGUAAGUGUAGAGUAUGAGUUGUAUUGGAUUAGAAGGAGAGAUUGGUAGAUAGAGGUUGAUAGGUGAGAAGUGAAUGAUAGAAAGUAUGUGGAAUUGAGUCCAGUUAUUAGAGAUGAUGUCUACGGUCAAGUUAGAACGUUAGUCCUCGACGACGACGCUUUAAGUAAGCGGGACGAGGUGGGCCAUAACCCACAGGGCGAUGAUUCAGAAAAUCGAAGAUAUGCUACGUGUUGUGUUAUGGACUUCAAAGGCAACGGGAUGAAGCAUGAGAACGUGAACUACUUGGGCCAGAGUUAUUACGGACGAUAACGUCUACGAUGACAUCUUACGAGGCUAAUACGAGUCAAAUCGAUUGAUCAUCAAGAACGUUGAAAAGAAGACAUAUAUCGUACAAUGAUUUAUUGAAGUAGAGUCGGAAUCUGAGAAGACCUUGGCAAUACCUCUAUUCAACUAAAGAUUCUUUUGAUGGUUUUUUUUCAUCAGUAAGAUAUUAUCAUGAUAUCUUUUCUACAAAAGUUUUGAUAAAUGAGAUCUUCAAUUUCUCAAAUUCUACGAUGACAUUGAUAUUGAUUAUUGGUAUGAGUUGGAAAGCAAAGAUGUGUGAUAAAGGUUUGUUGUGAAGAGAUAGUGAUGUUCCUUGAUAUUGUUUGACAUUUCUUGAUAUUCCUUGAUAUUCUUUCAUCAUCCUUGAUAUCCCUUGAUAUUCUCGAGAUUCUUUGAUAUUCCUUGAUAUUCUCUGAGAUUCCUUAACAUUUCUUCAAUUUGACUGGGAUGAACAACCCUAUUUAUAGGGGACACAAGGUAUACCUGUCUGUGUGAUAGGAGUUGGAUGGGACGCCAUCACUUGUGUGUGUUGUGAUUACAAGAAGGUUAACAACCUUUAGUAGUGUCUAAUGUGGACACGCAACACCAAGUUCAUUGAUCAUAUAGAUCUCUCAGUCACUCCUUUAUUCAAAUAUGAUCUACCUUGAAAACAUCUUGUUCUGUUCAAAAAUUUCCAAAGAUGGAUUCGUGGGAAAUGAAUUCUGCAAUUGUGAAAGUUGAUUCUCAAAUUUCUUUAAAGUCAAAGGUAUGCCAAGGCCGAUCAAAGGUGAAUGAUGAUACGUUAUUACGAAGCGUAUAGUGGAAUCUUACAAGUGAUACGUUUGAGUUCUCUUUGCGGAUUCCGAGGACGGAAUCCUUAUAAGGGGGGUAGAAUGUAAUAUCCCAUAUUAUUAAAUUCAGAUUUGAUUAUUAUAAAUCUAUUCGUCUAGAUAUUAUUGUUGUCUCUAGUGGAAUAUUGAUGUGAUUAUGUGAAUAGUGUGUAUGUGAUUAUACUUGUUGUGUGGAUUGAUAUGGAUUUUACAGAUUAUGCGUCCUCCUUCUUUCUCUGAUUCCGAGGACGGAAUCCCUAUAAGGAGGGUAGAUUGUAAUAACCCGGAUUUUUAAAAAUAUUUUUCUUAAUAUUAUAAAUGAUUUUCUUAAAAAGAAAGGAAUAAGAUUUAAUAUUUUAUUCCAGUUUAAUGAGUUUUCAAAGGUUUAUAUUUAAACCCCGGGUUAUUGUGUUAUUGAUAGAUAACUGUAUUUUCAAAAUGGAUUUUUAUAUAUUAUUUUGAAAAUUCGGUAUGAAUAUUAUGUGAAUAUAUGUGUUAUGUGAUGAAGUGGUAGUGGUGAAUUUGUUUGUUAAUUAGUUAUGAUUAAUUAUUAAUAUUAUAUGAUUAAUAUAUGAAUUUUUGUGAAUUUUAUAUUAUCUAGUUUAUUGAGCUGAAUGCUCGUAUGUGUUCGUAAUUGAGAUAUUUCAAUUUCUAUAUGCUCAGGAGAAAAUAUAGUUUAUUUGGAUAUUUUUAUAUUGAUUUAUGGAAUGUUAGAUGAUUUUAUAAUCGAUUUACGGAUUUAAUUGCGUAUAUUUAUAUUUAUUUAUUAAUUAUGUGACUUUCGUAAAACCGUUCACUCGUAACGAGGUAGCAAAUUUUCUUCCCGGAAGUUUCGAGAAAACUCACCAUUAGCCAUAUUAUUAAAUUCAGAUUUGAUUAUUAUAAAUCUAUUCGUCUAGAUAUUAUUGUUGUCUCUAGUGGAAUAUUGAUGUGAUUAUGUGAAUAGUGUGUAUGUGAUUAUACUUGUUGUGUGGAUUGAUAUGGAUUUUACAGAUUAUGCGUCCUCCUUCUUUCUCUGAUUCCGAGGACGGAAUCCCUAUAAGGAGGGUAGAUUGUAAUAACCCGGAUUUUUAAAAAUAUUUUUCUUAAUAUUAUAAAUGAUUUUCUUAAAAAGAAAGGAAUAAGAUUUAAUAUUUUAUUCCAGUUUAAUGAGUUUUCAAAGGUUUAUAUUUAAACCCCGGGUUAUUGUGUUAUUGAUAGAUAACUGUAUUUUCAAAAUGGAUUUUUAUAUAUUAUUUUGAAAAUUCGGUAUGAAUAUUAUGUGAAUAUAUGUGUUAUGUGAUGAAGUGGUAGUGGUGAAUUUGUUUGUUAAUUAGUUAUGAUUAAUUAUUAAUAUUAUAUGAUUAAUAUAUGAAUUUUUGUGAAUUUUAUAUUAUCUAGUUUAUUGAGCUGAAUGCUCGUAUGUGUUCGUAAUUGAGAUAUUUCAAUUUCUAUAUGCUCAGGAGAAAAUAUAGUUUAUUUGGAUAUUUUUAUAUUGAUUUAUGGAAUGUUAGAUGAUUUUAUAAUCGAUUUACGGAUUUAAUUGCGUAUAUUUAUAUUUAUUUAUUAAUUAUGUGACUUCCGUAAAACCGUUCACUCGUAACGAGGUAGCAAAUUUUCUUCCCGGAAGUUUCGAGAAAACUCACCAUUAGCCUAAUAUCAAUAUUCCGGACAUUUUUCGUGUUUUGACUUUUUCGAUCCGGAGUACGGUUUUCCCUGGAGCCGGUCCGGCGGAGCUUUUCGGUAUUCGAUAAUUAUCCAUUUUGUCUCGAUAAACGUGAACCGAGAUAUUUUCUUCAUCCUUAUCAUGUAAUAAUUGCAAUGGGACCCGCAGACCAAUAAUUGAGUUAAAAAGCCCCGUUUUGAUGAUUAUCUUGAAAACUAGUACCGAUUGGACCCCACUUUCUUAAUAUAAAGUUAUUAAAUACGUAUUUUCAUGCCAUAUACGAUCCAAAGGGGUACCAAUUAUUUGUAAAUAUAAAUAUACCUUUCUAGAGCUGAUUUUCACCCGUAAAAUCAUUUCACCAGUUUCUCUGCACGAAUACCGAGAGAAACCGAGCGGUGUUCUUCGUGUUCUUCAUAUUCAAACGUGGAUUUGAAGGCGUUAUUGGAGUCGGAAUCAAGCGUGCGAGUAGUCAAAUCGAAGAUAUCGAAGAGUAGAAUCCAUAUCAAUGAUCAAAAACAACAUGAGAUUCACAGGAUUUGGACGAGACGUGUACGCUCGAAGACGUCAGAAAGUCAGAAUGGUAUUGCAAAGCGAAUAAGGGAUGAUUGAGUAAGCGAAGCGAAGUGGCGAAUAGAGUAUAGCUAGAGAUGGUCUAGAGAUUACGAGAUGCCUAGAUUGUGAAAGUGGAAAGAUGAGAUAGAGAUGUGAGACUGGAGUCAGAUUUAAGGCAAGUAUCCUAAACCUUUCUCUUGGAUAUAUUGCAAAUACUCUGAUCCAUUCCUUUGGUAUCUGUUGCAAGAAUUUGUACCUUCCCUUUUUAUAUUUAAAAGUGCAUGUGUUCAGAUCCAUUCUUUCUAUUCUUCAAGUUUCUAAAGAAUUUUCGUUUUAUUAAUUAAUUCGAAGUUCAGAUUGUCAUUGAAGCAUGUGUUGCUCAGUGAUAGUUAGAGCUUUGAAUGAAUUGGGAUCUUCUUGAUUAUUCAACCCGCCAUUGUCAUGCUGGUUUAGCAGGCUAAAUUCAGUUGCUUAGCCGAUAAUGGAGGAUACUGAAUAGUUGAGGAUUUCCUGAACUGUGAUUUAUGAAAUGAUGGAUCAUAAUUUAUGAAUAGAUUAUUAUCAAAGUUUGAUUUGGAAUUAUUCUGUUGAUGAUAUUUAUGAUGAUGUUCUGUUAAUUUACAUUGGCUUCUUGAAUUGAAUUAUAGAAUUGGAUUAUUGUUUUUAUAUAAACCUGUGGACCAGAUUCGUGGUCAUGUUAGGCCAAUGAGUGCCUUGGAUCUAGUGAUAGAGCAUGGCGGGGCCUGCUCGGGGUUAGUGCGGAACUGAUCAGCUGCCUAACCUUGGUUUUAAUUAAAAUGUGAUAGUCCAAUUCAAUAAUUCUUUUGGAAAAAUUGAAUUCCUCAUUAUUCAAUUGCUGCAAGGUAUUGUGAACUUCUUAUACGAUACCAUGAACUCAUGAACUCAGGUUGAAUUCUCUUAUAUCUUGAACUCGUGAACUUCUAUUAUAUAAUUUCAGAACUAUCAUUGUUUAUUAUUACUUGCUGAGCAUUGUUGCUCACCCUUGCUA